rnacentral:lncRNA from 1 species
UUUGAACCCAGAUUUUUCUGAUGCCAAAGCCCAUUUUUGAUACCAACUGCUGCUGAGGAAUAAGUGAGGGUAGAUGUGAAAUAGGUGUGUUUGCACCUUCAGAAGCACUCUGGAGCCACGAAGACUUGGCUUCAGCAUAUUCUUCAUGACUUCGUGUGUAAUUUUCAGUUGGAGGCACUCAUAGGCUCAGGAAGUAUCGUAUGUAAAGACAGACAGUGUUCUCAGGUGACAAAAAAUACACCUUGGAUUUAUUUGCUAGAAUCCUCUACUCUCCCCCACCUUCCCCGAGAGACAGAAAUGCACAUUUAAUAUGGGCGUGGAAACAGUGAGCCACCAUAAAGCUCACCCACAGGACAAAUUCCCCAAGGCAGGAAGUUCAGUUUGAUUCUGACAUUGUUUGAGCACCUGCCGUGGGCCCAUUCAGUGGUGGAUGCCGAGGGAGAGGUAACAGAAUGAAUUGGACAUGAUUUCUGCUCAGAAGGCGUUCGCAGGUGCAGGGGGCCUGGGGAGAGGGCGCAGAGCUCACCCCCUGUUACGUGGCAGGGACAGUGGGCAGGGCUGUGAAGACAGUUCUCAUUGCUCUGGGAAUACACAUGAAGCCACACCUCGUGCCAGCUGCGUGGGUCUUAGACCAUCCUUUCUGACCUAGACCCUGAAGGAUGGAUGAGUGGAACAUUCCAGGCAGAGGACACCCUUUGAGCAAAGGCCCACGGUGGGAACGUACAGGCUGGAAGGGAGACUGGCUUCCAUUAGAUGGGGCGGCAGCCCCGUGGCUGUGGUGUCGGCUCUAUUUCAUGCCUCUUCGGUGUGAUUUGAUGAAGUGAUCAAUCUGCCUCUCUCUGUCUUUCUCUGUUAAAUGUUUUUUAUGUUUCUUUGGGGGGGUAUGUGUGGAGAGAUUCAUUUCCAGCUGGGUCCAGCUGCAGUGAAAAUGUCCUGUUUGACAGAUUGAGGGAUUAGAUUCCAACCAUCUCUCCUUGAAAGCCAGGGCGAUAGCUGUGACAUCUAACAUCCCUCCCUGUGGGGGCAGGUCAGGGGGGCAGUGUUGAUUUAGGGCUGCUGGAUGCGUUGACUUAAAAGUUGUUUGAAAAAAUGGGGUUGUGUUGCCCUAGUUGAUUAAUAAAUACGGCUCCUCACUGGUUCCUGUGGGUUUUUCUCCAAGGAGAACUUAGGAUGACACGGUCUGAGGCUGCUCCAGAGAAGAGUGCAGCGUAUCAUAGGUGGGCAAAUGUGUUUUUUUGUUGAAAGAAAUAGUGCAUUUAUGUGUUUUUCUGUUUAGUUUCUAUUUCAGAGCUCCCCCCCCCCCAAAAUGUAAAGGACACUCAACUUUUAAGUUUUGGAAAAAUAACUAAAGUCUUUGGUACCCAUUUAACACGAGCCAGUAACACGUUUGUACAGGAGACCAGUGUCACUUGUGGAGCUUUGAGCCAGUUGCAUGGCCACCCGCCUAGGCCACUUUGUGCAGCUGUAAGCUGAUGGAUUGGGACCAGCUGACCUCGAGGGCCUCUGACACAGUAGCCCCUCGGAAGUGGAAUGAAUAAAUCCCAGGUCCUGGAUCCUUGCUCUGCUCUUGACAGUGUAGCAGUUGUUCAGAGAGGCCAGUCUGAGCUGCAAAGUCCUGUGGUGUCCUCAACAAGGGAGGCUCCCAGCUUGUCUCCCCCCAGCUGGGUGCCACAUCUCAAGAGGAGUGACCAAGACAGCCUGGGGACAGCGCUGGAAGGCAUUUUAUCGAAGUGGCUCAGGGAGCUAUUGUGUUGCCGGAGCCGGAGCAGUGAUGGUGGGAGUGGGGACGAUGCCAGCCUUCAGAGAGUUAGGGAGCUCGCCCACCACAAUCUUGAGUUCAGGUUUAGGAAGUGGCAUGGCCACAGGGUCUGAAUUGAAACCCUCAGAGCAGCCAGGGCUUCCAGGGGAUGAUUUUGGCAGAAGCCCUAUUCCAACUAUCAGCAAUCAGGAACCUAUGGCUCUGGACUUGCAGCCAGUCUAGGCGGCCUUCCCUUUUCCAACUGUUAGGAGCUUAUACUGAGCUAUAACGAAUUCAUUGGUUUUUUACAGCUUUUGGCCACAGCACUGCCCAUCUCCCCCUUGGAAAUGAUUUGGUGCAAAGUUGUAUGGUCAGGGUGUUGGUGGCAGGGCAGUUGAUGCCUAGAACACAGACAGCCGUGCCUAGAACCUCUUACUUUUAUUUGGCAAAAUCACACGUAUUUCUUCUCCUCCCUUACUCUGAAAAUUGAUACAGGCUUUUGUGCUGAGUCAGAUCAAGGUCGAGUCACUUGUGUUUUCACUGCUCUGAAGCCCGUCGGCCGCCGUAUCAUAGAGCAUGUGGUUAAGAGCACACGCGGGCUCUGGUCUGAUGGUCCCGGUUUUGAAGCUCUUUUGUACCAGCUAGGGGUCGAAUUGGAGCUGUAACCGCUGGCCUACACCACAGCCACAGCAAUGCGGGAUCCGAGCCGUGUCUGCGACCUACACCACAGCUCACAGCAACGCUGGAUCCUUAACCCAUUGAGCAAGGCCAGGGAUCAAACCCAAAACCUCAUG